AAAGCCUGACGCAGCGACGCCGCGUGUGGGAUGAAGGCCUUCGGGUUGUAAACCACUGUCGGGAGGGACGAAGAUCUGACGGUACCUCCAAAGGAAGCACCGGCCAACUCUGUGCCAGCAGCCGCGGUAAUACAGAGGGUGCGAGCGUUGUCCGGAAUCACUGGGCGUAAAGGGCGCGUAGGCGGCCCGAUAAGUAGGGGGUGAAAUCUUGCGGCUCAACCGCAAGGCUGCCUUCUAGACUGUCGGGCUUGAGCACAGUAGAGGCAGGUGGAAUUCCCGGUGUAGCGGUGGAAUGCGUAGAGAUCGGGAAGAACAUCGGUGGCGAAGGCGGCCUGCUGGGCUGUUGCUGACGCUGAGGCGCGACAGCGUGGGGAGCAAACAGGAUUAGAUACCCUGGUAGUCCACGCCGUAAACGAUGGGCACUAGGCGUCGGGGGGAGCGACCCUCCCGGUGCCGUCGCUAACGCAGUAAGUGCCCCGCCUGGGGAGUACGGCCGCAAGGCUG
rnacentral:rRNA from 1 species